CUAUAAAAAUUCACAAAGCUUCCUCUGCUCAUGGAGGCCCAGUAUGCAGUGGCUGCAGAUAGCAGCCUCCUUGGUAGCAUAUGCAGCCUCUUGCAUGUAUGGGUUGUCCUAAGGGACCUUGGAGAUAGCC